rfam:Ciona savignyi cont_25768, whole genome shotgun sequence.
GCAUUGGUGGUUCAGUGGUAGAAUCCUCGCCUGCAACGCGGGGGGCCCGGGUUCGAUUCCCGGCCAAUGCA